ACUCAAAUGAAUAGACGGGGACCCGCACAAGCGGUGGAUGAUGUGGUUUAAUUUGACGAUACGCGGAGAACCUCACCCAGGCUUGACAUCCUUGGAACCCUCUAGAAAUAGAGGGGUGCCCUCGGGAGCCAAGUGACAGGUGCUGCAUGGCCGUCGUCAGCUCGUGUCGUGAGAUGUUGGGUUAAGUCCCGCAACGAGCGCAACCCUUGUCGUAUGUUGUAUUUUUCAUGCGAGACUGCCCGGGCCAACCGGGAGGAAGGUGGGGAUGACGUCAGGUCAGCAUGGCCCUUACGCCUGGGGCUACACACGUCAUACAAUGGCCGGUACAACGCGUUGCGAAGUCGCGAGACGGAGCUAAUCGCACCAAAACCGGUCUCAGUUCGGAUUGAAGGCUGCAACUCGCCUCCAUGAAGUCGGAAUCGCUAGUAAACGUGGGUCAGCAUACCACGUUGAAUACGUUCCCGGGUCUUGUACACACCGCCCGU
rnacentral:rRNA from 1 species